UCCUCUCACUUCAUAGCUCGCCUUAUUUUUCGACCCCGUCCUGCGCCUUAACCUCCAUCAAACGGAGGAGCAAGUCCACUGCGAAAACUUUAUCAGCACAAUCUCCUCCAUUUUGUCCGAGAGACAUUCUUGGGUCUCUAUCUUUAGCCUGAUCGACCUCUCUGCUAAACACACUCACCCAUCACGUUGUGGCCCAAAUUCUCAAGAAAACCCUAAAUCACCCCAAAAUUUCCCUGGGUUUCUUCAAUUGGGCCAAGACCCAACGAAAGGUUUUGCCAUUAUUUUGGAUCUUACUGCCUCGUGAUCCAAAUACUAACAAGGUCAGGAGUCAUAGAACCACCUGAGCUGUGAUUCACAAUUGCCUGAGUUGUAAUUUUUUCCAUUGUUGACGAUUUUUGGUGCACGGUACUGAUUAUGAAAGUUGGUGAAACGUUAACACUGAUGACACUUGGUCUUCGGCUCUUGGCAUAUGGCUUGCAGCAUGACAGCCUCUGAAUUUCAGCUUACCUGCCCGAAAAGGAAAAAGAGGGAGAAACCAUGAAGAUACAUUUUAUAACAUGGUGAAAUGGUAAUUCUAAAUAGAGGAUAGACACUAGCCGUGUUUCAGACCUUUGAUUUCUCUAUAUUUGGAAAAGCCAUUCCAGUCAGUAUUUUUUGCCACUUGAUUGAUAUUUCCUUGUGAAAACAAUGAUUUCCCUUGUUAACUCUUUAUUAUUAUUAUUAUUAUUAUUAUUUUAAUUAUUUUAGUAAACUA